GGGUAAUUGGUAGUUUCUCUUCUAAUAUAAGCUCUUUUUCUGUUAAGAAAUCCUUUUGACAUUAUGCUCUUUUUAUUGCAUCCAAACAGCUAAAGGUAAUUAGAGUGACAGUUCUCUUUUUCAAACAAUUCAUAAUUGUCCUAACAUUAUCUCCUUUUCUAUUCUGGUAGCUUAAUAUGCUAGAAAAAUAAAUAGGCACUUUUUCUUCUGAGAAUCUGGGAAUUCAAAGCGACAAGAAAAUUACCUUUUCUUAUAGAUAUGCAAUUGCUUAAGCAUUAACAGGCAUGAUUAAGCCUUAUGCCAUAGUUAUGCAUCCCUGACAAAGUGGGAGGAAAGCUUGCUGUGGUGUGGAGAAGAUAUCAUAGCCGCAUUUGAUUUUUGACCUUACGUAAGAUUAGCUCUAUCAUGUAGAGCAUAACGGUUAAACACUCAAGCCUCAGGUUCCCUGUGUGCUAGGACAUAUGUCCACUUAUUUGAAGAAACUGCCUCGGUAUCUACAAAAAGUCUUGAGGGGUUAAAGAAACUACUGAGGAAAUCAAGGAGGGCUAUUUAAAUAUCAUUUUUAAACAUUCUGUUAAAUAUAGAGGAAUAUUCCUAAAGUUGGAGACAUGUAGCUUUUCAUUGUACUUUUUUUUUUUUUGACAGGCCUUUAUUAGAAAUCUUAGGGAGAAAGUAGCUCAAUGACAUGUUUUUUAAUGUGGUAAAAUGUAGCUGUUGGAUGGAACAGGCUCUUUUCUCCAGUCCCUGCCCAACUGUUUGCAUCAUUAACAUUUCUACACUAACAAUGAAGCUUUGGUGAACCCUUGCUUUGGUCUCCAGUGACCUGACAACUUCUUAACUAAAGAUCAGGAAAAGAGCCAUGGUUUGGCUGGUAUGUGUAGCAGGCAGGGACCCUUUUACUUCUACAUUAUAACUGGGACGCUGAGCAGAGGACAAACCUCUGGCUCAUGACUCUGAAGACAGAAGGAUUGAUUUGAAAGGUGAUGUCAUGCACUGAUUUUUGCCUACAACAGCCUUGUGAGAGAAGAUACAGCCAUCAAAGAUAUAGGAUGUGCUCUGCUGUCAGCUUCUCUGUCUCCUGUCUCAAAAAGCGCCAAAUGCUGCCAGGUGUCUGAACAGAAGCCAAAUGCACAAAACAGCCAAGAAGCUGCUCCCAGGACUGAAGGUAAGUGCUGAUCAAUGAUGUAAGACAGCUCAUAGUGAAGGGGAUGGUGUAAGAGAUGGCCAUAAGUGCAUGCCCUGCAGGUACACAAGCUAGGGGAAAACAGUACAACAAAUAAUCCAUACAAUUGCUUCAGCUGGCAGAGAAAUCCUCAAAGCAAGGCCCUCUUGCAGCCCCCCAGAGUUUUUCAUGACAGUGAUGAUGGCAAUGUAUGUUUGUGGUGUGGUCAUCUGCUGCUAGGAGGAAUAUCAGUUUUGUAUGACAUAAGC
rnacentral:lncRNA from 1 species